AAGUCGUAACAAGGUUUCCGUAGGUGAACCUGCGGAAGGAUCAUUAAUACGCUUUUGUUUGUAACAAAACAAAACGUUUUAAACUCCAAAAGAAAUAGUGGAAAUAUAACUUCCGGAUGCGAAUGUUGGGAACUGAGUAAAAUCGGUUCUUUGAAAAAGGGACUUCAAGUAAUUGACACUUCAGAGUAGAGCAGUGAGGUGAAAUUCUCUUUAAUGAGAGUUUGGUGCUGAAAAACAUUUGUAUCCGGUUAUCAUAAUCUGUUCUACAAACUCCAAAAUAUCAAACAAUAAACCCCAUGUACAACAACUUGAACUAAACAUUUUUUUGUUAUUCUUCUUGCACUUGUGUGAGGAGCUACAAAGAAAAAACCUGAACUUAAGAACAACUCUUAACAACGGAUAUCUUGGUUCUC
rnacentral:misc_RNA from 1 species